UCAACAGGUCACCUCUCUUAUUGUAUAGGAUAGUGCCAAAUUUUUUAUGGAUGCACUUAUAGCUCAGAUGCUCAUGAAGGCCUUUCAACUCAUACGAAGCAUUGGUAACUGUAUCAUCAUCUAAUUCAAAGCCAUAAGAACAAAGAAACAUUCUGCUGACAUCAGGAAGUAAGAGAGCACGGUCACUGAGCAGAGAUUGAGCUACGUAUAUAGCAGCUUGUUGGAUACAAGAGGCAAGGUGGUCUUGUGUGUUGCUCAGUUUCUCCUUCAUUGAAGCAAUUAUCUCUGAGAGUGAUUGCUUUGGAAUGUAAUUGUCCUCACUGCAGUGUUUCGAUGCUUCAACAUGGUCAGCUUUACAAAUGCAACUGCUUUCAGGAGGAUGACUACCUUCAAGAUUCUUCACAAUAAACUGCUUCUCUUCAUCACUGAAUGUUGCGUAGUGAUCAUAAUAUUUAUGUUUGCUGCCACAUAAGAAACACUUACAACAUAGUGUACCAGGAUGAUAUUUAGCAGCCAUAACCUAUAUGUUAUAAUAAGAAUCUGUGUGAAUGUUUGUUUGUACUAUUGAGUUAAAAGUCUACCUGUGUGUGUCUAGUUAUUACAGGGAAUAAAGAGCCCUUUUGUUAGCUGCCUUAAAAGAACGGGACACCAA